UGAGGAAUAUUGGUCAAUGGACGAGAGUCUGAACCAGCCAAGUAGCGUGCAGGAUGACGGCCCUAUGGGUUGUAAACUGCUUUUGUUUGGGAAUAAUCGACAUUACGUGUAAUGUUUUGCAUGUACCAUUCGAUUAAGGACCGGCUAAUUCCGUGCCAGCAGCCGCGGUAAUACGGAAGGUCCAGGCGUUAUCCGGAUUUAUUGGGUUUAAAGGGAGUGUAGGCGGUUGGUUAAGCGUGUUGUGAAAUGUAGAUGCUCAACAUCUGACUUGCAGCGCGAACUGGCUGACUUGAGUACACACAACGUAGGCGGAAUUCAUGGUGUAGCGGUGAAAUGCUUAGAUAUCAUGAAGAACUCCGAUUGCGAAGGCAGCUUACGGGAGUGUUACUGACGCUUAAGCUCGAAGGUGCGGGUAUCGAACAGG
rnacentral:rRNA from 1 species